CACGUAGGGCGCAAGCGUUGUCCGGAAUUAUUGGGCGUAAAGAGCUCGUAGGCGGUCUGUUACGUCUGCUGUGAAAACCCAGGGCUUAACCCUGGGCUUGCAGUGGAUACGGGCAGACUAGAGGCAGGUAGGGGAGAAUGGAAUUCCCGGUGUAGCGGUGAAAUGCGCAGAUAUCGGGAGGAACACCGGUGGCGAAGGCGGUUCUCUGGGCCUGACCUGACGCUGAGGUGCGAAAGCGUGGGGAGCAAACAGG
rnacentral:rRNA from 1 species